rnacentral:rRNA from 1 species
CCCCCGAUGGGAUNUCCUGAUUUGAGGUCAACAGU